rnacentral:rRNA from 1 species
UACGAAGGGGCUGCGAGCGUUGCUCGGAAUCACUGGGCGUAAAGCGCACGUAGGCGGCUUUCUAAGUCAGGGGUGAAAUCCUGGAGCUCAACUCCAGAACUGCCUUUGAUACUGGAGAGCUUGAGUCCGGAAGAGGUGAGUGGAACUCCGAGUGUAGAGGUGAAAUUCGUAGAUAUUCGGAAGAACACCAGUGGCGAAGGCGGCUCACUGGUCCGGUACUGACGCUGAUGUGCGAAAGCGUGGGGAGCAAACAGG